GUAGGUGGCAAGCGUUGUCCGGAUUUACUGGGCGUAAAGCGCGCGCAGGCGGACUGGUCAGUCCGGGGUGAAAUCUCACGGCUCAACCGUGAGGGGUCCCUGGAUACUGCUAGCCUUGAGGGGCUCAGAGGAGAGUGGAAUUCCGGGUGUAGUGGUGGAAUGCGUAGAUAUCCGGAGGAACACCAGUGGCGAAAGCGGCUCUCUGGGGGCAACCUGACGCUGAGGCGCGAAAGCGUGGGGAGCGAACCGGAUUAGAUACCCGGGUAGUCCACGCCGUAAACGAUGAGUACUAGUUGUCGGGGGUAUCGACCCCCCUCGGUAACGAAGCUAACGCGAUAAGUACUCCGCCUGGGGACUACGACCGCAAGGUUA
rnacentral:rRNA from 1 species